GACGAACGCUGGCGGCGUGCUUAACACAUGCAAGUCGAACGGAAAGGCCCUGCUUGCAGGGUACUCGAGUGGCGAACGGGUGAGUAACACGUGGGUGAUCUGCCCUGCACUUCGGGAUAAGCCUGGGAAACUGGGUCUAAUACCGGAUAGGAGCCAUUUUUAGUGUGAUGGUUGGAAAGUUUUUUCGGUGUAGGAUGAGCUCGCGGCCUAUCAGCUUGUUGGUGGGGUAAUGGCCUACCAAGGCGGCGACGGGUAGCCGGCCUGAGAGGGUGGACGGCCACAUUGGGACUGAGAUACGGCCCAGACUCCCACGGGAGGCAGCAGUGGGGAAUAUUGCACAAUGGGCGCAAGCCUGAUGCAGCGACGCCGCGUGGGGGAUGACGGCCUUCGGGUUGUAAACUCCUUUCGCUAGGGACGAAGCUUUUUGUGACGGUACCUAGAGAAGAAGCACCGGCUAACUACGUG
rnacentral:rRNA from 1 species